GUCAACAGCAACCUGAAUGCACAGUUCCAUUCCAAAACCAGAGACUAAGUUGUGUCAGGCCAGCAGAGACCUGAAUGGGAGCUCACCUGAUAAUAGCCGGUGCUGUUAGCU
ensembl:rRNA 5S_rRNA 5S ribosomal RNA